rnacentral:lncRNA from 12 species
CCACUACUUAGUAAGAACUCCUUAACAACUUAAAGCUUUAUCCCUGUGAGUACCAGAAAAGUGAUCUGAGUAUUUAUUGAGCAGGGAGAACAAACUGCUUGCUCCAGGCAGGGAGAAAGCUUAUGGAAAUUAUAUUAGACCUUCAGCAAAGUGCACAGCUGCAUCAUACAGAAGCUGAGACUCAAACUGACAGGCAAAUAAGCCAGAUCACGGAAGGGGCCUCUGUGUGGCAGCUCUGAGCUACCAAGUGUUGGACAACUAGGCAAAAAGUGCAAUGGAACAGGGCAGAAAAUAACACACUAACUUCAGGCAACUGUUGCUUAUUCAUGUAACUUGUCACGAAAACCCCUGCAGAAGACCUGAUUUUGCUCCAUCUGUUCCACCCAGACUGACAGGAAAGAGCAGGAUGGCUGGCAGGGAUCACUUAUAAAACCCAAGUUGGCACUCACAAAACACAGUGCCCAAGACAGCAGUGAAACUUUCCAACUGGAGCACAGAGGACUGGAAAGGAACAUUUUCCAUAGAUGUCGGUUUCUGUCUCUGUGAUGCUGCACUCUGAGUGAUGCCACAUUCAGCACUGAGUACUACUGGCAAAGUCAGAGGCUUCUCAGAAUGAGUCUGCAGUCGCACGGCUGGUGGUGUGGCACAGACGGAGCAAGGGUUACAUCAAGGCUGUUCUCUGGACCGUGCAAACAGUCUAGACCAAUGACCUGCAUCAUCGUGCCCUUUGAAGAAGAGGCAAGUUCAGUCACGACGAAGAAAAAUCAAGGCGUACCCCUUUUAACAAUAGGGAGCAGCUCGUGGCUGCAAAGAGGUAAGCAGGGGUAAGCAAAAAAGGCAUCUGCUUCCAUGGUUACAGGCCAAGCAUGGGAACCUUGCUUUUG